CCUACGGUGGGCAGCAGUGAGGAAUAUUGGUCAAUGGGCGCGAGCCUGAACCAGCCAAGUAGCGUGAAGGAUGACUGCCCUACGGGUUGAAAACUUCUUUUAUAAAGGAAUAAAGUGAGGCACGUGUGCCUUUUUGUAUGUACUUUAUGAAUAAGGACCGGCUAACUCCGUGCCAGCAGCCGCGGUAAUACGGAGGAGCCGAGCGUUAUCCGGCUUUAUUGGGUUUAAAGGGAGCGUAGAGGGGUUGGUAAGGCAGUUGUGAAAGUUUGCGGCUCAACCGUAAAAUUUCAAUUGAGACUGGCAGCCUUGAGUACAGUUGAGGUAGGCGGAAUGCGUGGUGUAGCGGUGAAAUGCUUAGAUAUCACGAAGAACUCCGAUUGCGAAGGCAGCUUACUAAACUGCCACUGACAUUGAUGCUCGAAAGUGUGGGUAUCAAACAGGAUUAGAUACCCUUGUAGUC
rnacentral:rRNA from 1 species